rnacentral:lncRNA from 1 species
AUGAGUGUCCUAAAGUGUCCCCCUGAGUGUCGUGAGUGUCCCCUGUGUGUCCCCUGUGUGUCUCCAGUGUGUCACCCUGAGGGGCCAGUUUCCCAGGGACAGGAGGACCGGGACAUCGCAGAGCCUCCGCCCGUCCCACCCGCGCAUCCCCGGCGCCCCCGCCCCUUGCAGGUGCUGCGCAGGCCCCAGCCCCCAGGGACACAGGAAGGACAAGCCGCGCCUGGGCCCCGACAGGCGUGCCUCAUCAGGAAGCGGGCUAGAGCCUCCGGGGAGCCACGGGUGCCCGCCCACGCGGCCCCUACACUGUGGCCUGUGCCCUCAGGGUCGCACCAGGGACACAGGCCCGGGCAUGAGGGCCCCCGCAGUCACAGCGGCCCAAGGACGGUCCAGGCACUGUCCCCCCCAUGGAGCCUGGCGGCCAGCACGGGCCUGGGGGCGCCCCCUGGGGCCUGGGCUCCAGCCGUGCUCCCUGCUGCCCCCUCCGCUGUCCCCCCCCCUAAGCAAACACAAUCCUCAGAAAACCAGAAAAGACCACAGAGCCUGGCGCUCGUGGGUGUUCAGGGCGCCCGCCCUGCCCGGACCUCAGAAGAGCCUCUAUGACUCAGGCACCGGUCGAUCCGUAUGAACCUGUAGUAUUAAUGGGAGACCCUCCUCGUGACCCUAUUUCAUGAGUGCCUUACAAAGACAGGCAGGGUGGACGGACCUCGCUUGUCUUGGGCUGGAGCUUCCUCGAGGCAGCAGGGGGCUCCCCCCACCAGAGACAUGUGGACCCAUCGUUGUCGCCAGGGCCACGGAGCGUAUCCUGCACGCCACACGAAACAACGGCCCCAACAACUCUACCGUCCCCACCUUGCAGACGAGGAGAGGGAGGCGCAGAGACAUGGGCUGACCUGCUCGGUACCCCGCCCGUGAGCGGGGAGGUCAAGGUUCGACCCAGGCUACACAACUGGGGACCACUGUCAGGUUGAGAGAGACGUCGCCAAGCCACCCCGGCGGGGCCCCAGGCAGGCUCCCCAGGAUGUUCGUUCCCGUUGUCGCUACGAGUCUCACAAAACCGAGUGGCUUAAAACGACACAAACUACUUAUCUCAGAAUUUGGAGGAGGUCAGGCGCGCGGGAGGUCUCAGCGGCUGAGCCCAAGGUGCUGGCAGGGCCGCCUUCCUUCCCGGAGGCUUAGGGGGACACCCACGUCCCUGUGCCCCCACCUCUGGGGCCGCCUGCACCCCUUGGCCAGCGGCCCCCCGCAGCGUCUUCAAGGCCGGCAAAGGCCAUGGCGUCCCUCAAGGUUGUCACUCUGCUGCCCCCGAGCCCUAGGUCACCACCCCGUCGUACACUGGGCCCCGUGGGUCAUCCCGGAUCACCUCUCUAGAGUCCUCUGAGCUGCGACCUUACUUCGCCUGCAGCCGUGGUA